rnacentral:rRNA from 1 species
AACGAACGCUGGCGGCAGGCCUAACACAUGCAAGUCGAGCGAGGACUUCGGUCCUAGCGGCGGACGGGUGAGUAACGCGUGGGAACGUGCCCUUUGCUUCGGAAUAGCCCUGGGAAACUGGGAGUAAUACCGGAUGAGCCCUUUGGGGGAAAGAUUUAUCGGCGAAGGAUCGGCCCGCGUUGGAUUAGGUAGUUGGUGGGGUAAUGGCCUACCAAGCCGACGAUCCAUAGCUGGUUUGAGAGGAUGAUCAGCCACACUGGGACUGAGACACGGCCCAGACUCCUACGGGAGGGAGCAGGGGGGAAUCUUAGACAAUGGGGGAAACCCUGAUCUAGCCAUGCCGCGUGAGCGAUGAAGGCCUUAGGGUUGUAAAGCUCUUUCAGCUGGGAAGAUAAUGACGGUACCAGCAGAAGAAGCCCCGGCUAACUCCGUG